AAAAAAACUCCAUCAAGAGUCAUCACCCUACCAAUCCUUCAUCAUGAGGCACCGAAAAUUGAGGAGCCGCUGAAAUCUGUGGUCAUUGCAAUCUCAACUUCCGUCUGCAAGUAGUACAUGUCCUGAUCUAAAUCAACCAGCACAGCGUGUGCUAGCUAGCCGCGUAUGUGUGUCAGCUUUCCUAUAUCCAUCAAGUACGUGCAUGCCUGUUAUGCCCAGCGAGAAUCAAGUAGGUGCAUGGCUGUUGUGUCCAGCGAGAAGCUUUCUCAUAUCCACAAGUACGUGCAUGGUUGUUGUGUCCAGCGAGAAGCAUCAGCGACAAGCGGUGGGCUAUUUUGCCAACAACAUGAAUAUUCAGAUCAGUAGAAAAAGGAUGCUCACCGACAUCAUAUUUACACAUUACUCGAUGAAAGCCCAAUUAAUGAAGUGGAUAAUCAAACAGAUAGCCCACGAUGGUGUGGUCAUAUACUCUUGGACAGCUUGGAAUAAUAUGAUUUGUCGCCGGGGCUAAUCUAACGGAGGAUUGCGGAUGUUUUUACGUGCAUAUAUACAAAGACAUCACGCACAUUGUGAUAUUGGUAUGUAUAACUGAUAUAUGUAUUUAUGUUGACCUCAAAUAGAGUAGACCGCCUAUUAAAUCCCGGACUUGCCAAAAAUUAAGCCAUAUGUAAGAAUCAUGCAUGUAUUAAAAGAUCUAAUAUACAUAUGCAUGUGUGUAGCCUUACAAUGUGAUAUUUCAAACAAUCUUCAUCAAUAAUUGUAUAAAUAAAAAUAUAUAGCGAAAGAAAAAUAACCCGUCAUAUGUUCUGAGUUAUCACCAUCAAAUUUUGACUGAUUUGUUAGAA